UACGUAGGGGGCAAGCGUUGUCCGGAAUCAUUGGGCGUAAAGAGCGUGUAGGCGGCCCGGUAAGUCCGCUGUGAAAGUCCAGGGCUCAACCCUGGGAUGCCGGUGGAUACUGUCGGGCUCGAGUCCGGAAGAGGAGUGUGGAAUUCCUGGUGUAGCGGUGAAAUGCGCAGAUAUCAGGAGGAACACCAAUGGCGAAGGCAGCACUCUGGGACGUGACUGACGCUGAUACGCGAAAGCGUGGGGAGCAAACAGG
rnacentral:rRNA from 1 species